UGCUGGCGACGCGGGUUAGGGGCGGCGGGAGGCUCCGUGGCCUGCCCCGGGUUGAAGUUGGGAGGGCGCCCUUCAUUCUGAACCCAUUUAGGCAGCACGGGCAGCCCUCCUCGCCGUGGGCGGCAUCAGAGUCCCCCCUGCCCAGUCUUGGGGUUGCUCCCGGAUGUUGUCUGGGAGGCUUGCUCAUGGUGACAUCCUCAUCUCCCCGUGCACGUUACUGCAUUCAGAGCUUGGGUCACCUGGACACUGAACUCAGAUGAAUUUUCUCUCAGAUCCCGGGAGAAGGAGGACAGUUCUCAGGAAGGUUUUCCUGGGCCGAUCACGGAAAGGAUGAGAAGGGAGAGGUCCUGGUCGGGGACACAAUUACGGUGGCAGUGUAACACCAGGAAACUGUAUUGCGUGAAGUCCCUCUCACUCCCUCUACCUCCCUGUUUUAGGUGGACUCCGCAAAGACCAGGAUACCAGAAUGCAGUGGAGUGACCAAAGGUAGUGGGACCUUGGGAAUGCGAGUCUGGAGCCAGGCGGCUGGGGUUUGCAUCCUGGUUCUGCCCCUACUUAGCUGGCUGACAUGGCACAAGCCACUUACCCUCUCUGAGCCUUAUUGUCUUCAGUGGCAAAAGGAUCUGUCAACAGGCCCCAUUGUCUGGGGUUCUUACUGCUGAGAUUAAGGGAAGCUCGUCCAUAGAAGCACUUAGCAUUGUGCCUGGCACAUAGUGUAUGGUGGAUAAAUGGGACUUAGGACUAAAACUCGUGCCUUGGUGUGAUUUUACAGUGAUGUUUUGUUCUGGGGUGCAUCACAAGAGACAAGGUUCUUGGCUGGGCAUGGUGGCUCAAGCCAAUAAUCCCAGCACUUUGAGAGGCCGAAUGGGGAGGAUCGCUUGAGCCCAGGAGUUUAAGACCAGCUGGGCAACAUGGUGAAGCCUCAUAUCUACCAAAAAAAAAAAAAAAAAAAAAAAAAAAAAAGCCAGGUAUGGUGGUGUGUGCCUGUAGUCCCAAGUACUUGGGAGGCUGAGGUGGGAGGAUUGCUAGAGCCUGGAAGGUCGGGCUGCAGUGAGCUGUGAUCAUGCCACUGCACUCCAGCCUGGGUGAUAAAGUGAGACUCUGUUUCACAGAAAAGAGAGAGAGAGAGACAGACAAACCCACAAGAGUCUUAAACCAGAAUCUUCAUGUUAAAAUGCCUUCUGGAGGCUAAAAGGAUGAUAUGUUGAUAAUGAAAUAUUUAAAAGGCAGAAACCCUACUGAAUUGUUUGGUCCACAGAGGGAAAUGGGAAUCGCAUGACCUGAAGGAUGAUGGAGGAACUGAACAGAAACCAUCCUUGUUUCCUGAAUCUGAACAUGGCACCCUCUUUUCACAGUGUCUGUAUCAGCUCAGUCCGGCGACCCCUCGAAAAGAGGGAAUCUUGGUUUUCAAACUUAAAAUUUGGCCCAAAGCCCACUGCUGCCCACAAUGCCUGCCAGACACAUUCCUCUUCCUUUUUAGUUUCUAUGGGAAUACUCUCUUUGAAGAACCCAUGAAGCAGUGUCAGGCUGGUGUGAGGAUCAGCAGUGAUUUCUUUGAGGAGGAGAGCCCGUUUCUUCACUCACAGGCCAUGUCUGAGUGGAUCAAGAAGAACAGAGUGCCCUUUUAUGAGAUUUUCUCUGCGUAGACCACUAGCUUGGUAAAAAUGUCAAAACCAUCCUCGUUCUUUAAUAGCAGAUUAUUUUGGACUUUUCUCUGUAAGAAGCAGCAUGGGCAUUCAGAUGCUUUUAAGGAUAAAAUGUUCUUUCUCAUCACCAGGCCUGGUGCUCUGGAUGGCUGAGAUUUUAAUGUGACUUGAUGUCCCUUGGAGUGGCUCCCAGGCUGUGCUCUUGUGGUUGGGUGGCAAGUGGUUGCUUUAUUCAGUGCUGGCUAGAGGAGGUUUUAGCAGAUAAAUCGGGACCCCAGGAGCCCCUGAGUGCCAAGUUCUGCUGCAGGGCAUGUGUUUAUGGUGGGGAGGUGAGGCUGUGGAGGGUGGGGGGCAUUGAUUUCCUGCCAAUAUCAGAAGUUUCACAGGCUUCUUGUGUAUCCAGAAACACCCACCCCAUUGAGAAGACCUAGAAAACUUGGCCCUCCCCUAGCCUUUAUUGACCACUUGUGAAUGAUCCCAGGGUGUGCCUGACCCACAGCUCCUCCUGGAGGGAGAGAAAAGUCUCUCCUAGGUAUUUGGUUAUCAACCUCAACCACUUGCUGAGCCUUCCCCAAGACCAGGCAUCUUGGCAGAGAUUUCUGGGUUUUCAGGCAGAACUGAGCAUUCGAGUGUAAUAACUCACUGGAGUCCCUGAAAUCCCUGAUGGACGCACCAGGUAAAAGCAUCCAGGGUUGAAACCAGAUCAGGAAGGUUAUUGUCAGCCUGGGGCUCCUGUAGAGGUGCAUCCACGUUACAGGGAUUUUCCUUCUUGCUGAGGAGAAACCUGGGUUUCCCAGCUUUGGCACAGUCACAAUACUUGGGGUGAGGCCAUUCGUGGUGGUGGGGGGGCCGUCCUGUGUAUUGUAGGAUGGUUAGCAGCAUCUGUGGUCUCCAUCCUCUAGGUGCCAUUCUACCCUCCCAGCUAUGGCUACCCCAGAUGUCUCCAGAUGGUUUCAAAUGCUGUGGGGCAAGGGAGUGGUAUGUGAGCAAAACCACCCCAGUUGAGAGCCAUUGGUCUACACUUGUGGAAAUGUUUUCAGGGUGAGAGUGUCAAGCUUGGGUUCCUGCUCUACCCUUUAUGAGUAAUGCGGUCUUGGAAAAUUAAUAGUACUCCAGGGGCCUCAGUUUUCUCAUCUAUAAAAUGGAGAUAAAUGAGAUACACUUUGAUAGGAAGUUUAUAUGGGAUUUACCGGGAUAAUAAGACAGUACAUGGAAAAUACUGGGCAUAGCAUUUAUUUAUUUUAAUUUUUUUUAAGACAGAGUCUUACUCUGUUGCCCAGGCUGGAGUGCAGUGGCAUGAUCUCCGCUCACUGCAACCUCCACCUCCCGGGCUCAAAUGAUUCUCCAGCCUCAGGCUCCCGAGUAACUGGGACUACAGGCGUGCGCCAUCAUGCCCAUCUAGUUUUCAAUUUUUAGGAGAGACGGGACUUCACCAUGUUGGGCAGGAUAGUCCGAUCUCUUGACCUCGUGAUCUGCCCGCCUCGGCCUUCCCAAGUGCUGGGAUUACAGGCGUGAGCCACCAUGCCUGGUCAAACAUAAACUUACUUUCUUACCUCUUCUGCUGAACUCCAUUUGCUUCUUUUCCCAAAUGUCUUUAUCCAGAAGAGCUUUUAGCAACAAAGUUACCCAAUGCCCUUCCCUAGUCUCUCUUUGCAACUGGCUCUCAGCAGGGGGUGGGAGGAAAUCUUUGACAGAACCAAUUUACGUGACAGUUUGGAGGACUCUGGCUAGCCCCAGAAGGUGUUUGAAUUUUUAAAUUGGUUACUAGUGUCAGAAUGUUUCAUGAGUAAGAGCCCAGCCUCUAUGUUGGAUGCCCUGAAUUUAAAUCAAAACAUGGCCAUUUUGUAUAUAACCAGAGGAUGGAUUUGGGGACCCAAUGGAUCUACCAUGACAUGAACUUGCACCAACAUUCACCCGACCUCCAAAAUGCCUAUUCUGACUGGUAGGCCCUAGUCUCAGCCUAGUGCCAGUUCAGAGCCUGUGUCCAGUGAUCCUGCACAGGUCUCAUUAGUUCCUUUUCUCCUCUUCAGUCAUCCUGGUAAAAGGCUGUGUAUUCCCUUGGGGGCAGGCUGGGAGACAGAUUGACAGUAUAAAUGUUUGGCAGUGGAGCAGAGUCCAUUCUGGAGGGAACCUGGCUUCCCAUUCAGACAAGGGACUCCGGGUCUGUGAACUGGCUUCUGUCUUGGAAUUGACGGGGGACUGUGACUCUGUUUUUAUGAUUGAGAUUAGACUUCUGCUCACCUGACCUAGAACUCUUCUGCAAACACAGACCCAGUAAAAAUGUGGCAGGCUUCUUAUCUAUUUCACUUCUAGGAAUGCCAUGAUCAGCUGACACCAGAGGUCUCUGCGAGUCAGGCUAUUCUGGUUGCAGCUUUGACUCUGCUGUCUUUUAUGGCAACUGCAUCCACCUUGCCUUUGGGGAUUGAGUGCUCUGAUCACUUGGCCCCAGCCCCUGUAGUGUGCCUAUGUCACUUACCCUCUUUAUACCUCAGUUUCCUCCUCCAUAAAAUGGGCAUCCUCAUUGCACCCACCCCCUGGGCUGCUGUGAAGUAUAGAUAGAUUAGCAUAUGCAAAGUAAUAGAAGAGGGUCUCAAAGCCCAUGUGUCGUUAUCAGAAUUAGUUUGUGACAGGGGAGAGCUGGAGGAGACAGGAAGGUGCUGAGCAGACCCACGUGCUCUCCUACCAGUGUUUCCUGAGCACCUAUUAUGUGCUGCCCACUGUGAGAGCUGUUAGGGUUGAAAUAGGGAGCACAGCAGGGUAGGGGCUGUCAUCAGGAGCUUAGUGGGGAGACAAUUGUGCAACAUGGUUCCAGAGCUUGGGGUGGGGAAGCUCAGGGAGCACAGGGGCCUAGGAUCCUGAACAGAAUCAUGGAAAGAACACAGCCUCCCCAGCCUCUCCUGCCUCCUCUUCCUCCCUGGCCUCCUCUGCUUCCCUGGCCUCUCCUGCCUUCCUGGCUUCCCCUUCCGCCCCGGCCUCCCCAGUCUUCCCUGUCUCUCCUGCUUUUGAGGUGGGCCAGGAGCUGCUGGUGCUCACUUAGCCUGUCUUGGACUCUGGGUGUAGCACUUCGAUGUACAGAAAAUACCCCUGGAUUCAGCUCAUCACACAGCCAAGGAAGGAGCUCCACACUGACACUAAGGGUUCAUCCUGGGCUCAUUCAUCAGGACAUGCCUCCAAAAUAUUUCUCCAUGUCUCCUCCCUUUGCCCACCUGCGUUGUAUCUGUGCCUCAGCCGCAGCUGGGGGCCUGCAAAGAUCCCCUAUCUCCUCUGCCCCUGCACGGCUGGGUCCCAGGCAAUCUGUCCGCCCACCACGCUCCAGCCCCACAGUCCUCUUUCUGCUUUUUUCCCAGCCUCUGUGCUUUUGCACACGCUGUUCCCUCUGCCUGAACACCCUCCACUGGGCUGAGAACAACUCUCUGAGGCCUCUCUCAGCUGUUGCUUCCUUUGGAACAGCCGCUGCUGCUGUCCCUCUCCCAGCUCCAAGACCUGCUGAGCCUCCUGUCUUUUUCAGUUCCCAUGCCCCCAGCACUUCUCCUUGGCCUCCUUUUGACCAAUUGACAAUGUCCAUUCUCAAUGCCUUCUCAGCCAGCGCUGAGCCCCACUGGGUGAAGGGAAUGCCUGUCAUGUUCACCACAAUAUCCCCUCCCCCAUCACCACGACUGGUCCACAGUGAUGCUCAGAAAAGAUCUGUUGAUAGGCCAUGCGAAGGUGCAUUCAUGUCAUCCUGCAGGCGGAAUUCUCCACGAGUUUUGAGCAGCCUCGGUUUUCCCACCACCUCCAAACCAUGGAAGACACAGGGUGCAGGCAGAGCCCCCGGAGCCAUGGCCAGCCCUUCCGGCAGAUCUGAAGCCACUGGCAAGCCCCGAGGCAUGGAUGGCGGAGGACGACGUCCCUCCCGAAGAGAAGAGGCUGCGGCUCUUGCUGGAGGGGGAAGCGCACAGCCCGAGGACUGCGAGGACGGGGAGGACACGCCGCGGCCAGGCAGGAAGGAGACCGGCCCCCAGACAGGUGGCGACGGCAGAGGAGCUGGCCACCACAGUCCUGUCUUUUCUGCCAGAAGCAAGUCAAGUGUUGUUACAAGAACAAGUGUGAAAAACAUUUGCCUGAUUAAGAUUUCUAGCACCAUGAAAGUUAUCCUUCUUAGAAAUUCCUAAGGCUCAAUGUUGUGUGGAAGAUUCUGAGAAAGAAAGUAGUUUCCGAUCUUUGGGAUUCCCCUGAGAUGGUCCAAUCUGCAAAAAGUUCAUUGCCAUUUCCAUCAACAACACUGAGAACAAGAGUUUUAUCCGGAUUGGAUCCUGGGAAUUCAGAAGCUUCAGCAGCUUGUAGAGGCUACUAGAAUUCCUCAACUUGUGGCUGCAUGAUCCAAUCUCUGCCUGUGUGAUCACCUUGCCUCCUCCUCUUCUGUCUGGGUCUCCUCCUCUGGAGAAAGAGUGUCAGGCCUCUGAGCCCAAGCUAAGCCAUCAUAUCCCCUGUGACCUUCAUGUACACAUCCAGAUGGCUGGUUCCUGCCUACCUGAUGACAUUAUCUUGUGAAAUUCCUUCUCCUUGCUCAUCUCCUUGCUCUCCUUGCUCAAAAGCCCCCCUACUGAGCACCUUGUGACCCCCACUCCUGCCUGCCAGAGAACAACCCCCCUUUUUCCUUUACCUACCCAAAUCUUAUAAAAUGGCCCCACUCCUAUCUCCCUUCACUGACUCUCUUUUUGGACUCAGCUCACCUGCACCCAGAUGAAAUAAACAGCUUUAUUGCUCACACAAAGCCUGUUUGGUGGUCUCUUCACACGGAUGCAUGUGAAAUUUGGUGCCGUGACUCAGAUCAGGGGACCUCCCUUGGGAGAUCAAUCCCCUCUCCUCCUGCUCUUUGCUCUAUGAGAAAGAUCCACCUACGACCUCAGGUCCUCAGACUGACCAGCCCAAGAAACAUCUCACCAAUUUCAGAUCUGGUAAGUGGCUUCUUUUUACUCUCUUCUCCAACCUCCCUCACUAUCCCUCAACCUCUUUCUCCUUUCAAUCUUGGCACCACACUUCAAUCUCUUCCUUCUCUUAAUUUCAAUUCCUUUCGUUUUCUGGUAGAAACAAAGGAGACACGUUUUAUCCAUGGACCCAAAACUCUGGCACUGCUCAAAGACUAGGGAAGGCAGCCUUCCCUUGGUGUUUAAUCAUUGCAGGGACGCCUCUCUGAUUAUUCACCCAGGUUUCAGAGGUGUCAGACCAUGCAGGGAUGCCUGCCUUGGUCCUUCACCCUUAACAGCAAGUCCUGCUUUUCUGGGGGAGAAGCAAGAACCCCUCAACCCCUUCUCCUUCACCCUUAGCAGCAAGUCCCACUUUUCUGGGGGAGGGGCAGGAACCCUGACCUCUUAUCUCUGCACCCCAAUCCCUUAUUUCCAUGCCCUGACCUCUUAUCUCUGUGCCCUGAUCCCUUAUUUGCAUGCCCUGCCUUCUUAUCUUUGUGCCCCGAUCCCUUAUUUCCACAACCUGACCUCUUAUCUCUGCACCCCAACCCUUUAUUUCUGUGCCCUGACCCCUUUCCUGCUUUUCUGGAAGGCAAGAACCCCCCACCCCUUCUCUCCAUGUCUCUACUCUCUCUUUUCUCUAGGCUUGCCUCCUUCACUAUGGGCAAGCUUCUGCCCUCCAUUCCCCUUUCUUCUCCCUUAGCCUGUGUUCUUCAAAACCUAAAACAUCUUCAACUCACACAUGACCUAAAACCUAAAUGCCUUAUUUUCUUCUACAAUGCCGCUUGACCCCAAUACCAAAUCAACAGUGGUUGCAAAUAGCCAGAAAAUGGCACUUUCAAUUUUUCCAUCUGACAAGAUCUAGAUAAUUCUUGCCAUAAGAUGGGCAAACGGUGUGAGGUGCCUGACAUCCAGGCAUUCUUUUACACAUCGGUCCCUCCCUAGUCUCUGUUCGCAGUGCAACUCGUCCCAAAGCUUCCUUCUUUCCCUCCCACCUGUCCCCUCAGUCCCAACCCCAAGUGUCGCUGAGUCUUUCUAAUCUUCCUUUUCUACAGACCCAUCUGACCUCUCGCCUCCUUGCCAGGCUGAGCUAGGUCCCAAUUCUUCCUCAGCCUCUGCUCCUCCACCCUAUAAUCAUUUUAUCACCUCCCCUUCUCACAUCAGGUCCGGCUUACAGUUUCAUUCCAUGACUAGCCCUCCCCCACCUGCCCAGCAAUUUAUUCUUAAAAAGGUGGCUGGAGCUGAAGGCAUAGUCAAGGUUAAUGCUCCUUUUUCUUUAUCCCAAAUCAGAGAGCGUUUAGGUUCUUUUUCAUCAAAUAUAAAAAUCCACCCCAGUUCAUGGCUCGUUUGGCAGCAACCCUGAGAUGCUUUACAGCCCUAGACCCUAAAAGGUCAAAAGGCCGUCUUAUUCUCAAUAUACAUUUUAUUACCCAAUCUACUCCUGACAUUAAAUAAAACGCCAAAAAUUAAAUUCCAGUCCUCAAACCCCACAACAGGACUUAAUUAACCUCGCCUUCAAGGUGUACAAUAAUAGAGUAGAGGCAGCCAAGUAGCAACAUAUUUCUCAGUUGCAAUUCCUUGCCUCAACUGUGAGACAAACCCCAGCCAAAUCUCCAGCACACAAGAGCUUCCAAACGCCUAAAGCGCAGUGGCCAGGCAUUCCUCCGGAAUCGCCUACCCCAGGAGCUUGCUAUAAGUGCCAGUAAUCUGGCCACCAGACAAAGGAAUGCCUGCAGUCCGGGAUUCCUCCUAAGCCAUGUCCCAACUGUGCGGGACCCCACUAGAAAUCGGACUGUUCAACUCACCUGGAAGCCACUCCCAUAGCCCCUGGAAUUCCAGCCCAAGGCUCUCUGACUGACUCCUUCCCAGAUCUUCUUGGCUUAGCAGCUGAAGACUGACACUGCCAGAUCGAUCGCCUCGGAAGCCUACAGGACCAUCACAGAGGCUCUAGGUAACUCUCACAGUGGAGGGUAAGUCCAUCCCCUUCUUAAUCAAUACAAAGGCUACCCACUCCACAUUACCUUCUUUUCAAGGGCCUGUUUCCCUUGCCUCCAUAACUGUUGUGGGUAUUGACAGCCAGGCUUCUAAACCUCUUAAAACUCCCCAACUCUGGUGCCAACUUAGACAAUACUCUUUUAAGCACUCCUUGUGAGUUAUCCCCACCUGCCCAGUUCCCUUAUUAAGCCGAGACACUUCAACUAAAUUAUCUGCUUCCCUGACUAUUCCUGGACUAUAGAUACAUCUCAUUUUCACCCACCUUAACCCACAAGUAGAAGAUACCUCUACUCCCUCCUUGGCGACCUAUCAUGCACCCCUUACCAUCUCAUUAAAACCUAAUCACCCUUACCCCGCUCAAUGCCAAUAUCCCAUCCCACAGCAUGCUUUGAAAGGAUUGAAGCCUGUUAUCACUCGCCUGCUACACCAUGGCCUUUUAAAGCCUAUAAGCUCUCCUUACAAUUCCCCCAUUUUACCUGUCCUAAAACCAGACAAGCCUUACAAGUUAGUUCAGGAUCUAUGCCUUAUCAACCAAAUUGUUUUGCCUAUCCACCCCAAGGUGCCAAACACAUAUACUCUCCUAUCCUCAAUUCCUCCUUCCACAACCCAUUAUUCUGUUCUGGAUCUCAAACUUGCUUUCUUUACUAUUCCUUUGCACCCUUCAUGCCAGCCACUCUUCACUUUCACUUGGACUGACCCUGACACUCAUCAGGCUCAGCAAAUUACCUCGGCUGUACUGCCGCAAAGCUUCACAGACAGCCCUCAAUACUUCAGUCAAGCCCAAAUUUCUUCCUUAUCUGUUACCUAUCUCAGCAUAAUUCUCAUAAAAACACACGUGCUCUCCCUGCCGAUCGUGUGUGACUCAUCUCUCAAGCCCCAACCCCUUCUACAAAACAACAACUCCUUUCCUUCCUGGGCAUGGUUGGAUACUUUCACCUUUAGAUAUCUGGUUUUGCCAUCCUAACAAAACCAUUAUAUAAACUCACAAAAUGAAACCUAGCUGACCCCAUAGAUCCUAAAUCCUUUCCCUACUCCUCUUUCUGUUCCUUGAAGACAGCUUUAAAGACUGCCCCCACCCUAGUCGCUUCCCUGACCGGGAAGCGAGGUAAUUGACGGACAGUCGAGGCAGCCUCUUAGGCAGCUUAGGCCUGCCCUGUGGAGCAUCCCUGCGGGGGACUCCGGCCAGCUUGAGCGACGCGGAUCCUGAGAGCUGUCCCGGGUAGGCAACUGACCCGGUGGAAUGCCUCGUCAGAGCAGUGUGUGGUAGGCAACCGUGGAAGAUCAACACAGCGGCUGAACAUCGGGAAGGAACAGGCACUUGGAGUCCGGACAUUUGAAACUUGAAUUCAAGCCUGUCCUCGGAAUGCUACAAGGUACAGCCCAUUUGUGGCGGGAAGUCAGGGACCCCAAACGGAGGGACCAGCUGAAGCCAUGGCAGAAGAACGUGGAUUGUGAAGAUUUUAUGGAUAUUUAUUAGUUCCCCAAAUUAAUGCUUUUGUAAUUUCUUGUGCCUGUCUUUACUGCAAUCUCUAAACAUAAAUUGUAAAGAUUUCAUGGACGCUUAUCACUUCCCCAAUCAAUAUCCUUGUGAUUUCCUAUGCCUGUCUUUGCUUUAAUCUCUUAAUCCUGUCAGCCGAGAAGGAUGUAUAUCAUCUCAGGACCCUGUAAUAAUUGCGUUAACUACACAAAUUGUACAGCAUGUGUGUUUGAGCAAUAUGAAAUGUGGGCAUCCUGAAAAAAGAACAGGAUAACAGCAAUUUUUCAGGGAAUAAGAGAGAUAACCUUAAACUCUGACCGCCGGUGAGCCGGGCAGAACAGAGCCAUAUUUCUCUUCUUUCAAAAGCAAAUGGGAGAAAUACCGCUGAAUUCUUUUUCUCAGCAUGGGAUACCCCUGAGAAAGAGAAUGCGCACCUAGGGGUAGGUCUCUGAACUGGCCCCCCCGGGGCGUACCUGUCUCUUAUGGUUGAGAUUGCAGAGGUGAAAUAAACUCCAGUCUCCAUAGCGCUCCCAGGCUUAUUAGGAACAGGAAAUUGCCGCCUAAUAAACUUUGGUCAGACCGGUUGAUCUCAAAACCCUGUCUCCUUACAAGAUGUUAUCAAUGACAAUGGUGCCAAAACUUCAUUAGCAAUUUUAAUUUCACUUCGGUCCUCUGGCCCUGUGAUCUCGCCCUGUCUCCACUUGCCUUGUGAUAUUCUAUUACCCUGUUAAGUACUUAAUGUCUGUCACCCACACCUAUUCGUAUACUCCCUCCCCUUUUGAAUCUCCCUAAUAAAAACUUGCUGGUUUUUGUGGCUUGUGGGGCAUCACGGAUCCUACCAAUGUGUGAUGUCUCCCCCAGACGCCCAGCUUUAAAAUUUC